rnacentral:rRNA from 1 species
AAGUCCCGCAACGAGCGCAACCCUUAUCCUUUGUUGCCAGCGGUCCGGCCGGGAACUCAAAGGAGACUGCCAGUGAUAAACUGGAGGAAGGUGGGGAUGACGUCAAAUCAUCAUGCCCCUUAUGUCUUGGGCUUCACGCAUGCUACAAUGGCCGGUACAAAGGGCUGCAAUACCGUGAGGUGGAGCGAAUCCCAAAAAGCCGGUCCCAGUUCGGAUUGAGGUCUGCAACUCGACCUCAUGAAGUCGGAGUCGCUAGUAAUCGCAGAUCAGCAACGCUGCGGUGAAUACGUUCCCGGGUCUUGUACACACCGCCCGUCAAGUCAUGAAAGUCGGUAACACCUGAAGCCGGUGGCCCAACCCUUGUGGAGGGAGCCGUCGAAGGUGGGAUCGGUAAUUAGGACUAAGUCGUAACAAGGUAGCCGUACCGGAAGGUGCGGCUGGAAUACCUCCUU